rnacentral:lncRNA from 1 species
CCGUGACCUUGGAUCUUCCGGCCAUCUUCCUGUUCUUGACUGUGCCGAUGAUGGUAAAAAGCCUGUUCAUUCAUCAGAAUGGAAGCAGUCCUGGGAACUGAAACAAGGCAGCAGUGGUGACAUUCGUUUUUCAUAUGGCGUCGAGAGGACUAGUAGUAAGAGAGAAGCUGGCUGUGAUAUUUAUUUAUUAGAUAAAUCAAGCGCUAAGAAGAUGAGAGAGACAGCUGACAGUUUUGAAUCAGAUUGCGAGAAUGUUUUGUUGUCAGGAGAUGACAAAGGUUGUCUGAUGAUAAAUGGAGUUUGGAAGAAAAUAGGGGAAGAAGAGCUGCUUACUAUUAUGUCUGAUGUGAGGAUUUUGGUGUAGAAGUGUCCACGAUAACAUUUCUGGUUCCGUAUUUACUCAAUUCAUUAUUGUCGAUAUUCAUUUGCCACCCCAUAACAACCUCAUUUGUCUGGGCAAUGAAAUUACAGGAAUUUUUGCGAAGUAACGGCCAUGGGUAAAACUGGUUUCCUGGUGAACAAAUGGUGCUUUUGGCACUCCUUGAUGAAGUGGUAGAUUAUCAAUGGGAGUGGAGUAUGCUACGAGGAAA